GGGGCCGUAGCUCAGCCGGGAGAGCGCUACACUGGCAGUGUAGAGGUCGGGAGUUCGAUCCUCCUCGGCUCCACCA
rnacentral:tRNA from 2 species